rnacentral:lncRNA from 1 species
UACACGCCAUCCUAACUCUCUCGGUUCAAGAAUAUUGAACAGGGGCAGCUGUCAUACCCCAAAAUUUACCCAUCAUUUUUCCUGAAAAAAAAAAUAAAAUAAAAUAAACGAAAAAAUAAACGAAAAAAAAAAAACGAAAAAAAAAAAAUUUAAUUAAUUAAUUAAUUAAUUAAUUAAUUAAUUAAUUAAAUAAUUAAAAUAAAUAAAUAAAUAAAAUAUAACAAAUUAUUUUGGACUUGGGUCUCCC